rnacentral:lncRNA from 10 species
CUGAGAUCAGGCACAGCCAUCAACAGUGGCUGCAUGCCUCUCAUGCUUCUGAGUUACGUUUGUCCUGCUUCUGAGAAGAUCAGCCACUUCAGAAUGAACCAAUUAAUACAAUCGCUAGGUGCCCUCCUGUAGUACCUCUGUGAGGUUUGAAGGACUUGCCCUGAUGAACCUCCACUUCCCUGUAAUUCCCUAUAAGAUCUGCAGCACAAAGCUGUGAAGGUGCUGGUCAGGGGUGGAAUGCAACUGAUGCUGUCACCAGACUCUAAUCCCAAUAUCUCCCAGAUAUUCCACAGAUACCACAUUCUAACCAGAAUAAUCUGCAUCAUCUAAAGGGUUUAUGAUAUGUGGCUGUGGGACUGGACCAAUAUGAGCCCACAGAAGCCUGCAUACUUGGAACCACUUGGUGGGAUCAAUGUCAUUAGGAGACACAACUAUAAAUGCUGUCAUUCAACCCAGCUUGAAUGAAUAACAAAGAACAUGCUCCAGGAGGAUAAAGAACAGAGCAUCUCCUUGGUUUGUGCAGGCUUCCCACUGCAGCUGCCAUGCAGCAGAAACUGAAUGAUUCCAUAAAGUCAAGAAAUAACCAUGAUGGCUCUUCGUAAGCGUAAGCUUGGAUCACUGGAGGUCCAGGGCAGUGUUCCCGGCCUGCCUCACAUAGGACGGUGAGGGGCUUCCACAUUAAGGACUCAGAAAUUUCUAACACUUUACAAGAGGGAGGAGUGAACAGCAAGUGGUUUGGAAAUCACAAAUUUGUAGGAGCUCAGCAAGUGCUACUUAGGUCUAAGGGACACAGGGCAGGUUUGGAUUAAGAAAUGACACCAGUUUGGGGCCGGGCGCAGUGGCUCACGCCUGUAAUCCCAGCACUUUGGGAGGCCGAGGCAGGCGGAUCAUGAGGUCAGGAGAUCGAGACCAUCCUGGCUAACAUGGUGAAACCCCAUCUCUACUAAAAAUACAAAAACAAAGUUAGCCAGGCAUGGUGGCAGGCACCUGUAUUCCCAGCUACUCUCAAGACUGAGGCAGGAGAAUGGCAUGAACCGGGGAGGCAGAGGUUGCAGUGAGCCGAGAUCGCACCACUGCGCUCCAGCCUGGGCGACAGAGAAAGACUCCGUCUCAAAAAAAAAAAAAAAAGAAAGAAAGAAAUUAAAAAAAGAAAUGACACCAGUUUUGGCCAAAAAGUUCUUAAAAUGAGACUUCACAUUUUACAGAAAUAACAAUAAUAACUAAAGAAAAAAAAUCCUUUACCCUAUAGAUUAAAUCUGUUUUCUUUGCUUGUGCAACCCACUUAUUUUCAUGUGGAACCUGGACAUCUGAACUAGAAACAACAGCACCAGUCAGGGUUCAGUGGGAGACUAGUGGUACCUGUGAGAGGGAAAACUGAGCUGAGGUCAAGAAAUUGACUAUCUACAAAGAUGCGUGGGAUUAAGGGAAAUUAGUAAAGGAUGAUGAGAUGCCCAGGAACUAGCAACAGUCGGAAGCCAUUACCUAUGUUUCCUAGGUAACCUGGAAGGAGUUCCCAGAAUCUGGAAAGAAUGUAACAGCAGGGGAGCAUUGUUCAACAGGGGCUGUGCCUUCGGUAGAAGAAUGGAGCCACAGCCCCCCAUAGCCCACAGGAAGCUGGGGGGAGAAAGUCCCAACCUCACUCUCCUCCCGCCUCCAGUCUCCUCCCUUGGCCAAACCCAACAGAGGUCAGAGAUCAAAGGAGCCUAUUGAUGCAGAUCCUCAACCUUCUGGAGCACAGAGGAUGGUGGAGAGGGAGGAAAGGGGAUCUAAAGGGACAAGUGUAGAAUAUCCAGUGCAACAGCUUUUGAUUAGAAAAGAAAGUCAUAUUCCUUUGCUUAAUAUCCAAAUCACAGCAACUCUGAGCCCCUACCUCCCACAAAUUAGUCUUUUGCCCUCAAGCCCUGAAGAGGGUGUUGCACCCAACUUCCCUUACUGAUAGAACACAAGCCCCAGACCCUCACCUGCCACUGGCUUUUGGCAGGAUCUGUGACACUAAAAUUACAUCCGCUCUUUUCUAAUCCUAGCUAAUAUGGGCUAAGAGAGGACAGUCUUAGGAUUCUGGGAACUUCCUGUCCAGCUGAUUCACAAAAGUCACAGACCAGCUGUCUUCUAAAGUAAAACUACCUCCUGGCCAUGACUGUAAUAUGCUAGAUUUCUGGAGCCCUUUAGAAAAAUGGGCUCCUACCGGGCACGGUGGCUCACGCCUGUAAUCCCAG